rnacentral:rRNA from 1 species
UGAGGAAUAUUGGUCAAUGGGCGAGAGCCUGAACCAGCCAAGUCGCGUGAAGGAUGAAGGUUCUAUGGAUUGUAAACUUCUUUUAUUCGAGGGUAAAGUGAGGUAUGUAUACCUUAUUGCAAGUAUCGAAUGAAUAAGCAUCGGCUAACUCCGUGCCAGCAGCCGCGGUAAUACGGAGGAUGCGAGCGUUAUCCGGAUUUAUUGGGUUUAAAGGGUGCGUAGGCUGUUUGUCAAGUCAGAGGUGAAAGGCCGCAGCUCAACUGUGGAAUUGCCUUUGAUACUGGCAGGCUUGAAUACUGUUGCCGUGGGAGGAAUGAGUAGUGUAGCGGUGAAAUGCAUAGAUAUUACUCAGAACACCGAUUGCGAAGGCAUCUCACGAAGCAGACAUUGACGCUGAGGCACGAAAGCGUGGGGAUCAAACAGGAUUAGAUACCCU